rnacentral:rRNA from 1 species
CCUACGGGCGGCAGCAGUGAGGAAUAUUGGUCAAUGGACGAGAGUCUGAACCAGCCAAGUAGCGUGAAGGAUGACUGCCCUAUGGGUUGUAAACUUCUUUUAUAUGGGAAUAAAAUGUUCCACGUGUGGGAUUUUGUAUGUACCAUAUGAAUAAGGAUCGGCUAACUCCGUGCCAGCAGCCGCGGUAAUACGGAGGAUCCGAGCGUUAUCCGGAUUUAUUGGGUUUAAAGGGAGCGUAGGUGGAUUGUUAAGUCAGUUGUGAAAGUUUGCGGCUCAACCGUGAAAUUGCAGUUGAAACUGGCAGUCUUGAGUACAGUAGAGGUGGGCGGAAUUCGUGGUGUAGCGGUGAAAUGCUUAGAUAUCACGAAGAACUCCGAUUGCGAAGGCAGUUCACUGGACUGCAACUGACACUGAGGCUCGAAAGUGGGGGUAUCAAACAGGAUUAGAUACCCGAGUAGUC